rnacentral:rRNA from 1 species
UACAGCCUACGGGAGGCAGCAGUAGGGAAUUUUCGUCAAUGGGCGCAAGCCUGAACGAGCAAUGCCGCGUGAACGAGGAAGGUCUUCGGAUCGUAAAGUUCUGUUGAAGGGGAAAAAGAGCGGAGAGAGGAAAUGAACUCCGAUUGAUAUUACCCUUCGAGGAAGUCACGGCUAACUACGUGCCAGCAGCCGCGGUAAUACGUAGGUGGCGAGCGUUAUCCGGAAUGAUUGGGCGUAAAGGGUGCGUAGGCGGCCUGCUAAGUCUGGAGUGAAAGGUACCGGCUCAACCGGUACCGGC